rnacentral:rRNA from 1 species
AACGAACGCUGGCGGCAUGGCUAAGACAUGCAAGUCGAACGGACUAUUUUGAAGAGUAAUCGGAUUAAUAGUUAGUGGCGAAAGGGUGAGGAAUAGAUAGGUAACGUACCCCAAACUUUGGAAUAGCGUCUGGAUGCUUGCAUCCUUCCGAAAGGGGCAGUAAUACCGAAUGAUAUCAUAAAUCGUAAGAUUGAUGGUCAAAGAUUUAUCGGUUUGGGAGCGGCCUAUCUCCUAUCAGCUUGUUGGUGAGGUAACGGCUCACCAAGGCAACGACGGGUAGCGGGACUGAGAGGUUGGCCCGCCACACUGGGGCUGAGACACUGCCCAGACCCCCACGGGGGGCUGCAGUAACGAAUAUUGCACAAUGGACGAAAGUCUGAUGCAGCAAUGCCGCGUGUAGGAUGAAGCUUUUCGGAGUGUAAACUACUGUCAGGGGUUAGAAAGUCUUCGGAUUGAUCAGCCCCAGAGGAAGUCACGCUAACUU